AGAUGACCUUUGAAGUGCAGUAUAUCGUUGAAUGACCCUUUCAUUGUAACGUCUAUCCCUUUCUAAUGGCUCGUGUUGCACGGGUUCUUCGAUGGCAUCAUGCGCACAAUAUAUUCGUGUUCUUGAAUUGUUCAUCGUGUCUGGCUCUGGCUCAUAUUCAUCAACCGCAUCAUAAUCGAACUCAUCUUCCACAAUCAUGUUGUGAAGAAUGACGCACGUCAUCAUGAUGGAUCGAAGUGACUCUACAUUGAACAUUCUGGCAGCACCCCUGACGAUCGCCCAACGAGCUUGAAGGAUACCAAAACAACGCUCCACAUCCUUCCUGUACCCCUCUUGACAGCUUGCAAAGUGUUUUUCCUUUGCACUUCGCGGACGUGGCACUGUUUUGACAAAUGUUUCCCACAGUGGGUAAAUGCCGUCAGCUAGGUAGUUGUUGCGAGAAUUACUUGACACACAAAUUAAACCCUCUUUUUGACAAUUGUAGUAUAGAUGUAAGUAGGGUAUCGUUCUAGGCCGGGGAUUAGGAGGGAUUGCUAAUCUAUUCUAAAUUAAUUUAAAAAUAUUAAACAAGACUCAAGGACACAAAACUAGGCUAAAAACUCUAAUAACUCGAAACACACUUAGAAUGACUCAAAAUAAUGAAAACAAUCAAAUUAGACACUAGGAACUGAAAUGGACGGAAAUUGAAUUAAAAGACUAACAACAAUGAAAACUAACUAAAUAAUAUAAUUUAAUAAUGGGGGGGUUUGGUUUUGAUGAAAAGUAAAUUAAACUUAAAUAAAUUACAGAAUUGACAAAAACAUGAAAUUAAGGUGAAAGGAUAGGUGACGGACUAGCUAGAGGGUUCUUCUCCACACAUGACACAUAUGCAACCUAAAUUGAUUUUUUAAUUGUUCUUUCAAUAAAUUGUAAAUCUCAACGCCCCAAAUUAACCGUGAAUUGCACUAAUUAACCCUUAAUUUUUCCACAAGUUAUUGGGUUGGAUGAUUGCAUACGACAACCCAAAACAUUCCCUACAAGUUCCCUACAUGAAUUGCAUAAUAGAGAUACAAGUAAGAAUCAUUAAAUUCUAUGAAAAACAUAAGCAUUGAUGAGGCACUCGUUACUAUGAUUUGCAUGAAACUUAUGCCAAGAAUUUACUUAACGUGAUGUGACUAGCAACCUUCACUACUUGUGAAUAUAAGUUCAUAACGAUUAGGUGAAAUUCACUUAUAUUCUAGCAUCAAAUUCAUGCAUGUAAAUUAAGUAUGCAUCCUUAAUCGACAUACAAAAAUUAGUUAUCAAUCAAGCAGUUAAGCAAAUUAAAUCACAACUAAAGGUAAUCAAUUCAUAUUACAAAUAUAUUCAUGGCUUUGAAUUAACCUCAAGCCAAAAUAAAUUUAGUUACACAUUAUUUAAAACAGAAAUAAAAUAUAAGUUUGGAAAGAUUUAACCGAAAGAUAAGAAGCUCUGCUCUCUGCCGUCUGUUUCUUUCUUCCUGUGCUCACUUUCUCUCUACAUUUUUCCUGUGCCAGUCACUCCUCCCUUCUGCGAGCUGCCCGUCUGUUUCCCUGUCCUCUGCC
rnacentral:lncRNA from 1 species